UGAAAAUGUUUGGGUCAUGGGCGGCAGGUAAUGGAGGCUGGGGGAGGCUAAACCGCCUCAAACCUCCACUAAUGCUCCCUGCCACAGCUCCAGGGCCAGACUGUGGCUAGACUCAGAGCUCCUCUGGGUGGCUUAGGCUCAGGGCUCAGCCCUAGCUGGGUGGCUGGGUCUUGGGGCUCCUCCGGA